rnacentral:rRNA from 1 species
AGUGAACGCUGGCGGUAGGCCUAACACAUGCAAGUCGAACGGCAGCACAGUAAGAGCUUGCUCUUACGGGUGGCGAGUGGCGGACGGGUGAGGAAUACAUCGGAAUCUACUUUUUCGUGGGGGAUAACGUAGGGAAACUUACGCUAAUACCGCAUACGCCCUACGGGUGAAAGCAGGGGAUCUUCGGACCUUGCGCGAUUGAAUGAGCCGAUGUCGGAUUAGCUAGUUGGCGGGGUAAAGGCCCACCAAGGCGACGCUCCGUAGCUGGUCUGAGAGGACGAUCAGCCACACUGGAACUGAGACACGGUCCAGACUCCUACGGGAGGCAGCAGUGGGGAAUAUUGGACAAUGGGCGGAAGCCUGAUCCAGCCAUACCGCGUGGGUGAAGAAGGCCUUCGGGUUGUAAAGCCCUUUUGUUGGGAAAGAAAAGCAGCAGGUUAAUACCCCGCUGUUCUGACGGUACCCAAAGAAUAAGCGCCGGCUAACUUCGUG